rnacentral:lncRNA from 1 species
UUAAGGACGAAUGGAAUUUUUUCCCGCCUAAAGGAAAGAAUAGGCCACAUCCUCUUCCUCUGUCCCCUUUUUCUUCCUUCCUUACAUCCCUCAGCUGAGCUUCUAUAACAUGCCCAGUCCUGUGCUAGCUGCUGGUGACAGUGUGCGGCAGACACUCUCCACAGAAGAUCCAUGCGUCCCUUCCGUGGUGCAGAGUUGUCACAAGGAUGCCCUUGGUUUGAUUUCCCGGAACUAGAGGUUUGGCUUGUACUCUGGGGGAUCCUCAUGGCUGAGACCCAAACCCUGGGCCUGAACCACCCAAGGAAUUAGGACCCUCUUGUUCAGUUCAGGCUGAUUGAGACCACCAACCCAUAAACUGGGCCUGCACAGAUGUCUCAUAAGUGACCUGUUAACUUCAAGGGGCUACCCUCAGAUCCUGCUCUGCCAUUUUGUGAACAUGAGUCCUAUGAAGAGGCCUGGAGUCUGACUACGCUUGCACAGAUCAUCAAUUACCUCACUGCUCCUCACCUCCAAUCACCUCUCUCCACAUUUCAGACUACCUUCUCCCCUACUCCAUAAAUAUCCCUGAGUCCCCAUUUCCAGUGAAACGGAUUUGAGACGCGUUCUCUUGUUUCCUCACUGGGCUGCCUUGUGAUUAAG